UAAAGGUGCUGGCGAGCGGUUUAAUCAGCAAAGCGUUAUUUUUGAACGUGACAUCCCCCGAAGCGCGAGUGGCUUUGCCGUCCAAGGGAAUAUCGAGAUGUAAGCGCCCACUGACACUUCCAUCGACUUCCAGCUCAUCUAACGCCGCGCCCACAGAAUUCGCCAACGGUGACUCUUUAAAGUAUUCAUGCACCGCCUUACCUGAACCGGCGACCUUAGCAUCAACCAAGAGCUUUUUAUUGUGGUAAACCGGGAUAACCGCAGUGAUAUCCGUGCCAUCAACAUCGCCCAGCUUGGUAUGCGGUGCGUCCAUCCACAGCCCAUCGUUGAGGAAGUUUAAGUCAAUGGCCAGAUUGUUCAGCGGGGCCCAACCAGGCUGGAAGCGGAACGUCGCAUCGCGCAACGGCA
rnacentral:ncRNA from 1 species